rnacentral:tRNA from 1 species
ACCUAUUAGGAUGGAUUAUGUCUAAAAAAUUUCUAAAAUUUUUAUUGGGAAUGGCAGUAUUUUCAUAUGCGGUGCCAAGUUUCGCAGAUGGUUC